rnacentral:lncRNA from 1 species
GAUGCCAUCGCUUUUAGUAAUUCAGGUGUCAAAUCACUGUAGCUAUCUGAUACUAUUGAAUGGUGAUAUGUUUUAGUUGUCUGGUGCUAUGUUACAUUCAAGUCACCAGAGCUGUUUAGGAGUCUGUGAUAUUACCUUCCUGAUAACUUUGUUUACCAGAUUGUCCAAUGUACUUAAUAUUACUGCUGUCCAUUAAAUAUUGUUGUGAACUUGUAUUGUAUAAUUUUAUAUUUGCCGUACUUUCUAUCUUGGAAUGGUAAUAGUGUAAUACACACUUCAUCUUUGCCUUGACCUGUAUGCUACUGCAAGUGUGAUCAUUUGUAGCAGUCAUGUUUCUGCCUGACGGAACAUACAAGAAAAGUAAACAAGACAGAUGAAGUGAUGCAAAUAGUAAGUGUUAAACAUAUGCAUUAAGGGAGAGCACGUCCUUUCUAAAAAAGGGUAAAUCAUCUUUGUUUGUACUUAUAUCAGAUAAAAUGUGCAAAGGCCCUAGGGUUCCCCAGGCGCCACCCUUUUGGCGUGCCUCGGCAAAAGGGACACUUUUCCCGGCGUUUCAUUAUUAAUCUUCUCAUGGAGACUUAAGUGUUGGACUGAAAAAUGGGAGCUCUGAACCUGCUACACUGCACUGGACACCAGUUUCGGUUUGCUGUACCGAACUAUAUUUCUGCAUUGUAUUUCUGGAAGUUCUGAUGCCAAGACACUGGUUGAUUUGCUGUACCGAACUACUCCCUCCAUUCCAAAAUAUAAGUCUUUCUAGAGAUUUCAAUAUGUGACUACAUACGAAGCAAAAUGAAUGAAUCUAUACUCUAACAUAUGUCUACAUACAUCCGUAUGUUGUAGACCAUUUGAAAUGUCUAAAAAGACUUAUAUUUCGGAACUGAGGGAGCAUAUUCUGCGUUCUAAUGGCAAGACCAAUGCAGUGUAUGAUGUAGCAGUUCAUACUAGGAUUAUAAGAUGCUGACAUUUGGAACUAAUUUCAACUCCAUGUGUACAUGGCCUGCUACCUCGUACAUUGCACUUCUGAAACUGUUUAGAGUGUUUUUGAUUUACCAGAUAUUAUCAGAACCAAACAUCUUAGAGCAUCUCCAGCCGUUGGCCCCCCAAGGGGGCGUAAAAUCGCCGUCUGGGGGCGAGCCGGCGCUAAAAUCGGCGUGGUGGCGAGCGGGUUCCCAGCCGCCGGCCCCAGGGUCGCCCCAAGACGCGGUUUUUUAUUAAAAAAAAGAAUUCGGCAAAGUUCGACAAAUUGAACAAAACGUUUGGCUAAAGUUCGGCAAACGCCGGCGGACGGGAAGAGAGGCAGAGCUCGGCGGCUGGUUUGGGCUCGGGCUUGUGUGGCCAGAGGCGAGGGGAGCCGCCGGUUUUAUAGCCCCGCGCCGUGUGUAUGCGUGGCGGGAGGGGAGGCGUCGCCGCGCCGCCUGUGAGGAAUCAAUGGCUGGGCAGCCUUGCCAUUGAUUCCCCGCAGGAAACCGAGGCGUUUUGAGGGAAGACGAGGCGCGCGUCGCUGACUCGGCGGGCCUGCGGCUUUUUCGCGCCAAAAUCGCUCGCCCCGAAGCCCCGGGCGCCUCCCAGCGCGCCGGGUUCGGUCUGGGUCCGCUGGCGCCAGUUUCGGCCCAAACCGGCGAAAAAGGGCUCCUGGGGGCGCGUCUCGGCCGAUUUUUGGGCGCCGAUGCAGAAAAAAUCGCCUGGGGAGGGCCUGUUGGGGGCACGGCUAGAGAUGCUCUUAGGCAUCUGUGAUGCUCAGUAAUAUUGACUAGUAGAACGCCCGUGCGUUGCAACGGACUGCAUUGGCGACUUCCUUUUUACUGUUAAAGCACUCUGCUUUUCUUCCUUUCAAACCUCUCCCAACUAAAUAUGUUUUUUGAAGUGAUAUUUGAAUGGAUAAAUUAACAACCAUACUAAAAUAUCAAGAUAUAAAAAUAUAUGUAUCGAAUAACAUUGCUACUACACAUUCGACAUGAAAGUUAUGGCAUCCGAAAGAUUGGAAACAAACACAAUGGUGACUUACCACCAAAUCUCAUUUAUAUUUUGGAACGUGGUUGUCCUACUAAUGUGUACCUGCAAGAUCUCUCUCCCCUUCCUCCCUCUCCCUCCCUCGAGCUCUUCCCCCUCUCCCACUUUUCUCACUCACCCUCUAUUGAUCUCGAGUGUGUUGCCUUCUCAAGAAGGCUCCAAUGCUCUAGUGGCCGUCUCAUGAGAUGGUCGUCAUUGCUGCUACUGGUGGAGGUGGCGGUGAUGAAGAGGAAUACCACAAGAGGUUGUUGAUGUUCUUGAUCUCUUCCCUAUGGUUAGUGUUGCCUCUGCAUGGGGUGUCGUUCAUCAAUACCACAACUGUGUCAACUACAACCAAAAAAUAUAUAAUAAAAAGCUAGAAACUUUGUGUGUGGCUUGAAUUUGGAAUUCUAGCCUUAUAGGAGGAAAACUUAUACGAAAUAUGCUACAAAAAUAUCAUCUUAUGUUUAAAACCAUAGCUAAAAGUUAACUCGAUUUAUAGUAAGGUGCUCUUGCAACGGGAUUCGUUCAGACUUUGCGGUGGAAGAACAAACAUAUGGAGCUGCAAAGCAGAUAAAAAUAUCAACUGUAAACCUCUCUUGAAAACUCGUUGUCAUAGUUCUCAAAGUAGUGGAGCAGAACUUGUCAGUACCAAGGGCGGGUGUUCUCAGUGUAGUAGCCGAGGGAAGACCUUUAUAUAUCAGGGAGGAACUACCACUGAUAAACUUCUUACCACCCAAAGAAUAGGUUGUGAUAGUCGUGAGACAACCAUCUAUAUGAAAUAACAACCAUCAUUAUUAGCUCAUACGGAGUAGAAUUCUACCGGCUACAAAGAACCCAAGAAUUGGACCACAACAUCUGUCACAACUAGCCGCCGCCGCCCCCGUUUUCCCCACCUCCACCCCCGUUUUCCCCACCUCCACCCCAGCUCCCCUCGCCGCCGCCAGGUGAAUCCGACAGGCAAAGCCCGCUCGGCGUUCGGCGGCGGCGGGGACUUCUCCUCGCGAGACGCGUAGCGGCGGCCCUGGACGACGCGAGGCGACUGUCGGCGGUGGCGGCGUCUCGCCGGCGCAGGCAAGCCGGGGCGGCGGCCCCGGGCAUGGUGGCGGUGCCGCUCUCUCCUCUCCUCCCCCCCCCUGUGGGUCGUGAGGGGCGGUGCUGGGCCAGCGGCCGCGGAUCUGGCGCUAGGAGGCUGGAUCCGUCGGUGGGGCUGCCCAGGCGUGUGGCUCCGGCGGCUGCACGUCCGGCUGGUUGAGCUGCGGUGGUGGCGGCGUGCUGCAGCUCCUGGAUGGAGGCGCGGCGGCGCCGCGUAGGUGGAUGUGCUGCGGCGGUCGUGGGGAGCGGUCCCUGGCCUCCGGGGCGGUGUGUGCUCUGCCAGCUCCGGCCGUGCGAGCAGUGGAGAGGUGGUCAUGGCUGUUGGCGGCGGCUCCGGGUUGGUGUCGUGUGGCAUGGCCGCUGGUGCUUCCGGUGAGGGUGGUGGCUCCCUGGAUGUGUCAAGGGCUACGGCGCGGUGGGCUGUCCUCGCGGCAGUACGGUGAUGGUGGUUGUCGUGGGUCUCUGGACGAAAGUUUCUGCCCGACUCGAUCGGUGCCGGCGACGGCGGCGCUCUGUUGCGCCGUUUCCAUCUUGAUGGCGUCCUCGAGGAGCCCCGACCCGCCUCCAACCAAAGGAACCUCGUCUUCCAGGUGAAAACCCAGAUUUAGUUUGCUGGAUCGGAUGGCGGCGGCGUCUUCUUGGACGUCGUUUAUCUUUCUUGGAGGCGCCAUCUUUGGAGACGAGGUUCGGUUGGCGCUUGUGGCUUUUGUGCUUCUGGUGGUAUGCCGAGACGGUGGAUGCCGGAGCGGCGGCUCCGGACGAUGGAUGUAUGCCGAGGCGGCGGCCUCGGACGGUCAUGCAACGGCGGUUCUAUGGGGUAGGUCCGCUGCUUUGCUUGACAUGGGCGGCGACCUGGUGUUGCGAGGGUGGCCAGUUCGUCGGCUCGGUCGACGCGAUCUGUGGGGUCGGUCUGGCUGGAAGUCGGGGCGGCGGCCCCGGAUGUUUGGUACAACGUUCGUGGUCUGCGGGCGGUCGUCUCGUGUAGUAAGGGCUACGAGGCGCCUGAACCGCGCGGCGUUGUGGCUCGCGUGCGGGCGGGGGAUGUCGGAGCGGCGGCUCCGGAGUCGGGUGUGUGUGUUUGUUGCAAUGUUGCCUUGGGUCGUGUGGUCGGUAAGGGUUCGUUGCGUGUGCGGUUUUUCGGUCUGGUUUUCCUCAUAAACUGGGCCACUCUGUUAGGUUUUCGAUCCAGUUUCCCUCAUAAACUGGAUCAACUCUCUUCUUCUAUAAUGCAAAGCCAGAGCACCUGGCCCUCUGACGAGGUUCCGUAAAAAAAAAACAUUUGUCACAACUUGGUCCGGGAGAAGAUGCCAUUGUCCAUAUAUUCACUGGAUUUCUUGCCUAUAUCUGUGCCAGAAGAUACUUCAGCCCGUAGAAAAUCCCAGUUGAUAUGUGAACUAAACCAUGCUAAAAUAAAUUAAAAAACAAAUUUAGAACAUAGCAGGUCGUUGAUCAAAAUAAACAUGUUUACUGCCAAAACCAGAGCCUAAUUUCGAGCUACCGCGAGAGCUCCCCUGGCGGCAAGCUUGUGGCAGCGCGGGAGCAUCCAGGGAGGAAGUACAGAGUAUUCUUGAGGCAUUGUGUGAUUGAAACAGGCUUGUACGUAUACUUUCAGAUCUCUGGUGCCAUCUGCUCUUGCAUAACCACAAAAGAGUACCUGAAAGUUGAGUCAACUGAAAUACAACUAAUGCAUAAUUACACAUUUUGAUCAUUGUUCUUUUGAGGCCGAUGAACUAUAUGUAAAAUCAUGAAGUAAGCUACAGCAAGUAAUCAAAUUUAUCCACCAAGCCCACUAACCAGCAACAACAAGCUAUCAAGAUUUCUUUUACUCAUACAAGUGUGACUAACUCUGUAAUGUUUGCCUUCAGAAGCUAAAAAGGGAUAGAACAAUCAACAGACCUUAAUGUAUUGAAAAUGUUCCCAUGUGGUUGUUAUGAAAUUUGGAGUGAACAAAAAUUAGUAUCCAAUUGCUCAGCUAGACAGAAAUGAAGGAAGCUAUCUUGUACAAAUAUAUGAAAACAACACCACUUUAAAUGAAAACACAAGUUCAUACUUUCAAUUUCCCGACAAUUGUUCCAGUGGCUAUUUUGCCUAAGUUGAUGGCUUCCUAUACAUAAUGGACGUAGGCAAAUAUGUAGAACUUAUGAAACUUGCAGUUAAAGCUUGAUGAAGCCGGUCGGCGCAAUUGGGGGGGUAGCGGCGAGCAGCUCAGUGAACGCCACAGUGGCCGUUGUCCGGCGGAGCAUCGCGGACUUCAUUUGCAUUUGUAUUAGAGGAGCGCUUCGGUACACCCCCCUCACAAAACAUAUAAAGGGUAGUACGAACAUUUCACAAAUUGUACUCAUUAGAAUGUAUACGGCGUAGGUUUGUACAAUUCCCGGCCACACUCGUCCCUCAUGGGCUCAGCCCGUUUAGUUUCAUUUUUAGUCUUAAACUUCAAAAAACUGGGGGUCCGACAUGGGAUUCGUUCCCAAGUCCUCAGGAACAAUGGGAAAGUGCACAACCAUCUGAGAUAGCUAACCUUGCGUGCCAAUUGACCUUCUUUUCCUCUUUUUGAAUGAGAUAAAUAACGCUAAGAAAAAAACUCUUUGCUUUUCUUUCGUUUUUAUUUUCCCUUUUUUUCGUAAAAUAGAAAUUAAAACUUAUACAUAAACUUUUUAAAAAAUCAGAAAAAUACAAACACAAUUUGAAUUUUGAAAAUUUUGAAUUUGAGAAAUAGAAACAAUAAACAAAAAACAAAAAGUCAAAGAAGAUGAAAAAGGAAAAAAGAAACAGAAAAAAUAAAAUAGGACAGGAAAUAAAAAUAAAAAAUAAAACAGGAUAGGAAAUAUAAGAUCAUAGAAAAAAUGGGGUCAUUUGAUGGAUGCCAAAAAUACAAGCUCUCAAACGAACCCUUCUCACCUACCCGAACACCCUCUGUUGAAUGUGAUCUAUUUCUGGCAUGCAUGAAAUGUCCUCAACUUUUUUUAGUAGCAGGCAUGUCCAUGGUAGGCAUCCAUGCGAGGUUUGAAUGAAUUUUCAACACAAUAUGCAAGUUGUGUCACGUCCGGCCAUUUAUCGGCCAAUUUUCAUCGAGAAAACUCCAAAAAAAUGUAACAAUUGUCGAAAACUCAAACAAAUUGGCAAGGUGCCUUGAUUUGAUCAUAGAAGUCGGUGGAAAAAAAAUUGAGACUAUUUUAAUUAUGUCAAGAAACAACAUACCCUCAGGUGGAGCCUUCUGGCCAUCUCGAACACCCUCCAUUGAACAUGGUCUAGUUUUAGACAUUCUUGAACUAGCCCCAACUUUUUCAAGCAGGUGGGCAUGACCAUGGUAGUUAUCCUUACCAGGUUUGAAAUUUUUCUGACACCGUAUGCAAGUUCUGACACGCCUGUCCAUUUAUCGGUCUUUCUUUUACCAAGAAAACUCUGAAAAAUAAAAAGAUUGUCGAAAACCAAAACAACUUGGCAUGUUCCCUUGAAUUGCUCAUACAGGGUCAUGAAUAAUUUGGGGUCAUUUCAAGGAUGUCGAAAAACAACAUACUCUCACACGAAGCCUUCUCGCCUACCUGAACACCCUCCGUCAUGGUAUAUGUUUGGACAUCCUUCAAAUCACUCCAACUUUUGCAAACAGGUUGGCAUGUUCAUGGUAGACAUCCAUGUUAAGUCUGAAUGAUUUCUGACAUAUUAUGCAAGUUGCUACACGUUCGGCUAUUUAUCGGUCUUUUUUGGCCGAGAAAACUCCAUAAAAUGCAGAAAGAUUUGAAAACCAAAACAGCUUGUCAUUGUGCCUUGAAUUGGACGUACGAGGCCCUGAGAACCGGCCCGGUCGGGCGGCCUCCUAUGAAUAAAGUAUUUAAUUUGUGAACAUGUUUUCAAAUUCGUGAACUUGUUUUCAAAUCGAUGAACUUUUUCAAUUUUGCGAACUUUUUUUGUCAAAUUCGUGAACUUUUUUUCAAAUCGAUGAACAUUUUUCAAUUCCGCGAAUGUUUUUCCUCCUUGGAGAUUGGGGUGUUCGUGUGUUCCAGGGCGGUCCAUCAAAAUCGAGGUCCCUGUGUCAAAAUCUAAGAUGGCCCUAUCUUGUUACAGAAAACGUCCUACUAGAUCAAUUUGUCGUCUAUGGCAGGCAGGUUGCAUGCAUAAAAAGUAUUUUAGGUGUUCUUUUUAGUUGCAUUCAUAUAUAUAGCGUUUUGGCAUUUUAGAAAAUAUCUCCACAAGCAGAAAGCCUACAGUUGAUAAUCGUCUUGAGAAGUGUGAAUAAAACACAUAAAUUUUUCUUGGAUGGUCCAGAUUGAUGUGCCGAUGUACUGGUUUUGCGCACCGGCGUAGUAUGUUCUUAUAAAUCUUGUGCUAAUUUUAUCACCAAAGGGCAGCGUAGUGGACUGGUAAUUUGUGAAGUUUGGGAGACGUGGUCAGGAGCUCGAUUCCUCAUGCGACCCGACCUAGCUCUUUUCUGAAGAUUUUUACGUCUUGCUUUAAAUAGCAAGUGACCUAGCGCCUGCUGGGCUGGCCCAGAUGUGCAUCCUAGCGACAUGCUUGUUCGUACGCUCGCCCGCUUAUUGGAGGUUUGGUUGUGGACAACGUACUUUUAAAAAUACCAUCAUGUCCUUUAUUAUGAAGGGUUAUAGGAUAAUUAUAGCCGUUGAUGUGUUUAGGGGAGGUGUACCGAAGCGGAAACGUUUGUAUUAUAAUUGUGAGUAUGGUGUUUUAGCUGGGAGCUUUGACAGGUGUUCCUCAGCUUUGGUCAGCCAUCCCAUGUCAUUUAGCGAGGUUUGGUUGUGGACAACGUACUUUCAAAAAUACCAUCAUGUCCUUUAUUAUGAAGGGUUAUAGGAUAAUUAUAGCCGUUGAUGUGUUUAGGGGAGGUGUACCGAAGCGGAAACGUUUGUAUUAUAAUUGUGAGUAUGGUGUUUUAGCUGGGAGCUUUGACAGGUGUUCCUCAGCUUUGGUCAGCCAUCCCAUGUCAUUUAGCAUCAUCACGUGCUGAACACAGAUGCAAAGCUUUCCAAAUUAACAAAUAAACAUAUAGAUGAAACACAAGUUUAUUGCAAGAUUUCCUCGACGGUAGCACAACUCACAUGCCCCCUGUGUCGGUGCUGACAGAGGAAAUCAAGCAGGGGCUCAAGGCAAUCAUGUUGCGGAACAAAAAUCAAACACAAGCUCCUGUAGAGAAAAUGCACGCCAUUUCCAAUUGACGACGGCAUGGUAUUAAGGCACUGAAUGGCUCAAAGUCAAACUCCAGUACGUAGGGGUCGUUGUGCCUGCCAGAUCAUGAGGUUAAGAUUAUAGUGAUAAAAAUUGAAACAAUUCCACUUGUGACAAUUUAGCUGAGCUGAUUUUAAUUUUAGUAUCAAGCAGAGAUCCGUACGUAUUGAUAAUGAAAGCUACUAAGUUGUCAAUGCCUUAACACGACCGUAGUCGUACACAUAUAGCUAGGCAAAGGAUGUACAAUUCAAACUACGUUUCCUGAUGGCAGCCUCUCAAAGCCCAGCAUUAAGCGUUCAAUUUGAUUUUACCUCCCCCAACUCCCCUCUCAUUAAAAAUUUGACAAUAGCACAAGCAAAAGGAACAAACGUCGGAGUAGAGAUUGCAGGAAGGAACAGGGAGCGCAACACAUACUGGCCGUCGACGAGCUCCUCCUUGAAGCGGAGAUACUCUGUCUCCUUCACGCUGAGUUGUCAUCUCCAGCCCUUGGCCCCCGAGGGGCGCCUAAAAUCGCCGUUUGAGUGUAAGCCGGCGCAAAAAUUUCGGUCUGAGGCGAGUUGGUCCCCAGCCGCCGGCCCCAGGGCCGGCCCCAGGCGCGUUCAAAAAGAAAUAUAUAUAGCAAAUUUCGACAAAGUUCGGCUAAACACCACUAAAUUUUGGCAAACUUUGACAUAUAUUAGACAUGUUCGCGGAUUUUCAUUACAUAGCAACUAUAUAACUAAUCUAAAAAAGAAACUGGCUGAACGCCGAGUAGUCGCCGUCGUCGCCGCCAUCCUCACCGCCAUCGUCAUCGUCGGCCUUCUCCUCCUUGACGCGGGCGUACCUACUGGACCCCUGCCCGGCGUCGCCAUGGCGGACUGGUGGCGGCGGCGGCGCGUCGUUGUCGUCGCUGUCGUCGAUGACGACGACUCCUCCUUCGUCGCGGCCCCGGCGGCGCUGCGCGAAGCGCCGCAGGGCAGCGCACUGGCGCUCCCUCGCCAUCUUCAGGGAGUCCUGGCGUGCCCAUUCCAGGGCCGCGUCGUCGUCGAGUUCCACGUCGCGGUGCUCCGUCUUCACGGCGGGGAGACCCGGCUCCGUCUUCACCGGGGCGAGCCCCGGCUCCGUCUUUGGCUUGACGAAGCGCGGAGGAGGAGCCGACGAGGAGGCGCGCCGGCCGCCCUCAUUGAUGACGAUGCCGGCGCUGCGAGUGCGCCGGCCGAGCGGCGUCUCCGCCGCAGACUCGGCCUUGACGCCGAGCAGCGCCUGAGAGCCGGAGGAGUGGGAGAAAGAGCGCGAGGAGGAAGAAGAGGAGGAACCGAACCUCCUUGGCAUCCAUUGCCCGUCGCGUCGGCGGUGCGCCGGGGCGGCCGCCCUCGCCGGGGGGUAUGCCAACGGCGGGUUGUUGGCGCCCUCGAGGUGCGUCAGCACGCCCUCGAGCGUGCGGCCGGGGACGCCCCACCAUAGGUGGCGCCCCUCGCUGUUCUUCAGGCCGCCCACCACCGCCGCGCCGUUUGUGGACGCCAGCCUCUGCUGCUGACGGCGCUCGAAGUACGCCGCCCAAGCCGCGUGGUUGUCGGCGGCGUACUGGGGGAGGGCGAGCUGGGCGUCGGUGAGGGAGGCGCGCACGAUCUCUACCUCAUCGGCGAAGUAGGAGGAGCGCGCCACAGCGUCGGGCAACGGGGGAAUGGGCACUCCCCCGUUACUGAGCCUCCACCCCGUCGGUCCGGCGCGCAUGUCCGGCGGCGCCGGGAUGUUCGCCUGGAACAGGAGCCACGACUCCUGCUCGCGGAGCAUGCGGUGGCCGAAGCCGUUGGCCGCCGCCUCGUCUCCGGGGAAACGCUCGGUCAUCGGGAAAGGGGGGAGAGGGAGGGCUCGGCCGCGGCUCACGGGAGAGGGAGAGGGGGGGCUCAGCGGCGGCGCUCAGGAGAGGCAGAGCUCCGCGGCUAGGGCAGGGCUGGUGUGGCCAGAGGCGAGCGAGGCCACCGGCUUAUAUAGCCGCGCCGCGCCCGUGUGUACGCGUGCGAGGGAGGGGAGGCGUCUGCGCCGCCCGUGAGGAAUCAACGGCAAGGCUGACCGGCGGCAGCCUUGCCAUUGAUUCCCCGACGGAAACCGAGGCGUUGAGGGAAGACAAGGCGCGGUGUCGCUGACGCGGCUGGCCCGCGGCUCUUUCGCGCCAAAACCGCUCGCCCCGGCUCCCCCGGGCGCCCCCAGCGCGCCGGGUUCGGCCUGGGUCCGCCGAUUUUGGCCCAAGCCGGCGAAAAUCGGGCUCCUGGAGACGCGACUCGACUGGACCGUUUUUUCGACGCCAGCACAAAAAAAUCGUCUGAGAAGGCCUUUCUGGGACGCGGCUGAAGAUGCUCUUAGACGUUGAGGCCAUGCACGUUGACCGGAAGUACUCCGGGUCGAGGCCGCACCAAAAUCGACUCCUGCUCGAAAAUACACGCACAUUUUUUUUUCAUAAAGAAAAUAAAAAAUACACGCACAUGGACAUGAUAAGACAUGAUAAGACAAUAAUUAUUCAGGGAUAACGCGCGCGCACGAAAUAGCGAGUGUUGCGAUUUGACGGCGCACCUGGGAGGACGUUGACCAUAGGGCACUUGAAUGUAUAGUACUGUGGCCACCGCAUCAAUGGAACCUGAGCCAAGCCUCCAUCUCUCUCAAUCCUUGCGCCUCGCCGCCGCGCCAUCCCGGCUAGCCUCCGCCAAUUGGUUCAAGGCCAAUUUCACCGCGCGAUCUCAAACGGAUGUCUGUUUUGUGUGGAUUUUAUCCAUUUGGGUAGGGAUUUAGGGUCGUGUCCGGGCGUGUCCUGAGAUGCGGUGGCCGUGCGUUCAGCGCGCGGCCGCAUCCGUUUGCCCCAUCCUGUCCGCGUCUAUUUAAAAAAAAGCAACGUUUCAAAUGCCAAGCCCUAGUUCACGGCCCCAGUUCAUCACGCCGGCAACAAAGCCAGCGGCCUACACGUCCAUCGCCGGCAUCGGCCAGCGGCCGGCAACACAGCCAGCCUCCAAAAUGAAUAGGUGUCCUCGCCGGCAACACAGACGGCCUCCAAAAUGAAUGUUUUCUCGCCGGCACACUGCCAGCGGCCCAGCGGGCGGGCGGCACCCAUGCCAGCCUCCAAAAAGAAUGGCCACGUCGAUCGGACGACCUAGUUCAGGCCUUCGGCGUCGAGCAUCUCCUUCUGCCUGGCCUCGAACCAGGCCCUCGUCUUGUCGCUCAUCUUCGACAAGUCCACGCUCAUGAUUGCAAGGGCCACCUCCUUCGCUUUGGUGGCGGCAUUGGUGGCCUCGAUGUCGAGCUGCCUCUGCCUGGCCUUGAUGUUGUCGGCCUCGAUGUCGAGCUGCCUUUGCCGGGCGGCCUCUUCCAUGUCGAGCUGCCUUUGCCCGGCCGCCUCCUCCAUGUCGAUCUUCCUCUUCUUGGCCGCCUCCUCCAUCUCAAGCUUCUUUCUUUGAAGGUCUAGGUAUUGCUUCAUUUGCUCGUCCUUGCUUUGCCGCUUCUUCUCGUCCCUCACAUCCUUUUGAGACAUCAUGCCAUGCAAAGUGUCAUGCAAUGCCAUGGAUGAGGCAUCACGUAUGUCAUCAACCUUGGAGUUGGUCUUGCCCCUCGGCCUCUUCAACGCCUCGCCAUCUCCACCUCCGUCGAACUUGGCCGUCUUCAGUCCUCUCUUCCUUUGUAGUUCACGGUAUUGGUCCUUGAACUUAGGGUAAUUGUUGAUGAGCGUCCAACAAUGCGUAAGCGUGAAUGGCUUGUCAUUGUGCCGGGCCUUGAAUGCCUCCAAAGAUUGAAAUGCCUACAACACAUGAUCAACAAGAAGUGAACAUGCAAACAUAUACAAGGCCGAAGUCUCAUGGCCGUAGCAAGGAAAGGGCUAGGAAGAGGGGAGCAUACCGUGUCCCCAACGCCGAGACCACUCACGGGCCAUGCUUCAACGCUCUCAAAUGCGGCUUGCUCGUUGCACUCUUGUUGGAUGAACAACCAUCUCUUUUGAAUCGAGCCGAUGCCACGGUUGCUUGAAAUUUGGUAGGGCUCGAACAUCUUCCUUUCAUGGAAUGUUUUGUGGACUCUCGUCCAAAAAACAAUGCCCUUUUGUUGCGCGCCGGUCCUCGGAUCUUGGCUAAUCUCCAUCCAAGCUUGGCAAAUCAACUUGUCCUCAUCUUGUGUGUAUGAACCCGUGCGAAUGCUCUUCCUCUUUUUUGUGCUUCCGCUCUUUGGGUCAGCUCGUCGAUGAACAAUGGCGCGCCACUAAUAUCAACGUCAUUGCCUUCUUCUUCUUCUUCUUCUUCAUCACCAUCACCUUCGACAUAGAUGUCAUCAUCUUCAUGUCAUGAGUCACCAUGGUCGUAGUCUGCACGGUCGUCGGCCUCUUCAUCGGGGACGUACUUGUUGGAAAUAUGCCCUAGAGGCAAUAAUAAAAUGGUUAUUAUUAUAUUUCUUUGUUCAUGAUAAUUGUCUAUUGUUCAUGCUAUAAUUGUGUUAUCCGGAAAUCGUAAUACAUGUGUGAAUACAUAGACCACAACGUGUCCCUAGUAAGCCUCUAGUUGACUAGCUCGUUGAUCAACAGAUAGUCAUGGUUUCCUGACUAUGGACAUUGGAUGUCAUUGAUAACGGGAUCACAUCAUUAGGAGAAUGAUGUGAUGGACAAGACCCAAUCCUAAGCAUAGCUCAAAGAUCGUGUAGUUCGUUUGCUAGAGCUUUUCCAAUGUCAAGUAUCUUUUCCUUAUACCAUGAGAUCGUGCAACUCCCGGAUGCCAUAGGAGUGCUUUGGGUGUGCCAAACGUCACAACGUAACUGGGUGACUAUAAAGGUGCAUUACGGGUAUCUCCGAAAGUGUCUGUUUGGUUGGCACGGAUCGAGACUGGGAUUUGUCACUCCGUAUGACGGAGAGGUAUUUCUGGGCCCACUCGGUAAUGCAUCAUCAUAAUGAGCUCAAUGUGACUAAGGAGUUAGCCACGUGAUCAUGCAUUACGGUACGAGUAAAGAGACUUGCCGGUAACGAGAUUGAACAAGGUAUUGGGAUACCGACGAUCGAAUCUCGGACAAGUAACAUACCGAUUGACAAAGGAAAUUGUAUACGGGAUUGAUUGAAUCCUCGACAUCGUGGUUCAUCCGAUGAGAUCAUCGUGGAACAUGUGGGAGCCAACAUGGGUAUCCAGAUCCCGCUGUUGGCUAUUGACCGGAGAGGCGUCUCGGUCAUGUCUGCAUGUAUCCCGAACCCGUAGGGUCUACACACUUAAGGUUCGGUGACGCUAGGGUUGUAGAGAUAUUAGUAUGCGGAAACCCGAAAGUUGUUCGGAGUCCCGGAUGAGAUCCCGGACGUCACGAGGAGUUCCGGAAUGGUCCGGAGGUGAAGAAUUAUAUAUAGGAAGUCAAGUUUCGGCCACGGGAAAGUUUCGGGGGUCACCGGUAUUGUAUCGGGACCACCGGAAGGGUCCCGGGGGUCCACCUAUCCCGGAGGGCCCCAUGGGCUGAAGUGGGAAGGGAACCAGCCCCUAGUGGGCUGGGGCGCCCCCAUGGGCCUCCCCUUGCGCCUAGGGUUGGAAACCCUGGGGGUGGGGGGCGCCCCACCUGACUUGGGGGGCAAGUUUCCCCCCUGGCCGCCGCCCCCCCUUGUAGAUGGGUUCCAGGGCCGGCGCCCCCCCUCCAAGGGGCCUAUAUAUAGUGGGGGGAGGGAGGGCAGCAGCACCACAGCCCCUGGCGCCUCCCUCUCCCCCUGCAACACCUCUCCCUCCCGCUUGCGCUUGGCGAAGCCCUGCCGGGAUCCCGCUACUUCCACCACCACGCCGUCGUGCUGCUGAAUCUCCAUCAACCUCUCCUUCCCCCUUGCUGGAUCAAGAAGGAGGAGACGUCGCUGCUCCGUACGUGUGUUGAACGCGGAGGUGCCGUCCGUUCGGCACUCAAUCAUCGGUGAUUUGGAUCACGGCGAGUACGACUCCAUCAACCCCGUUCACUUGAACGCUUCCGCUUGAGAUCUACAAGGGUAUGUAGAUGAACUCCUUUCCCCUCGUUGCUAGUAUACUCCAUAGAUGGAUCUUGGUGAUGCGUAGGAAAUUUUAAAAUUCUGCUACGAUCCCCAACAGUACUGGGCGAAGCCCUGCCGGGAUCCCGCUACUUCCACCACCACGCCGUCGUGCUGCUGGUGAAGGAAAUAUGCCCUAGAGGCAAUAAUAAGUAUUAUUUAUUUCCUUAUAUCAUGAUAAAUGUUUAUUAUUCAUGCUAGAAUUGUAUUAACCGGAAACAUAAUACAUGUGUGAAUACAUAGACAAACAGUGUGUCACUAGUAUGCCUCUACUUGACUAGCUCGUUAAUCAAAGAUGGUUAUGUUUCCUAGCCAUAGACAUGAGUUGUCAUUUGAUUAACGGGAUCACCUCAUUAGGAGAAUGACGUGAUUGACCUGACCCAUUCCGUUAGCUUAGCACCCGAUCGUUUAGUAUGUUGCUAUUAAUUUCUUCAUGACUUGUACAUGUUCCUAUCACUAUGAGAUUAUGCAACUCCCGUUUACCGGAGGAACACUUUGUGUGCUACCAAACGUCACAACGUAAAUGGGUGAUUAUAAAGGUGCUCUACAGGUGUCUCCAAAGGUACUUGUUGGGUUGGCGUAUUUCGAGAUUAGGAUUUGUCACUCUGAUUGUCGGAGAGGUAUCUCUAGGCCCACUCGGUAAUGCACAUCACUAUAAGCCUUGCAAGCAUUGUGACUAAUGAGUUAGUUACGGGAUGAUGUAUUACGGAACGAGUAAAGAGACUUGCCAGUAAUGAGAUUGAACUAGGUAUCGAGAUACCGACGAUCGAAUCUCGGGCAAGUAACAUACCGAUGACAAAGGGAACAACGUAUGUUGUUAUGCGGUUUGACCGAUAAAGAUCUUCGUAGAUUAUGUGGGAGCCAAUAUGAGCAUCCAGGUUCCGCUAUUGGUUAUUGACCGGAGAGGUGUCUCGGUCAUGUCUACAUAGUUCUCGAACCCGUAGGGUCCGCACGCUUAACGUUACGAUGGCAGUUAUAUUAUGAGUUUAUAUGUUUUGAUGUACCGAAGGUUGUUCGGAGUCCCGGAUGUGAUCACGGACAUGACGAGGAGUCUCGAAAUGGUCGAGACAUAAAGAUUGAUAUAUUGGACGACUAUAUUCGGACACCGGAAGUGUUCCGGAGAAGUUUCGGAUAAAACCGAAGUGCCGGAGGGGUUACCGGAACCCCCCGGGGAAGUAUUGGGCCUUAGUGGGCCUUGAGGGGAGAGAGAGGGAAGCAGCCAGGAGGUGGCGCGCCCCCUCCCAUGAGGAGUCCUAUUAGGACUAGGAGAGGGGGGCGCAGCCCCUCUUUCCCUCUCCCUCUCCCUCUCUUUCCUUCCCCCCCCCCUUCUCUUCCUAGUUGGACUAGGAAAGGGGAGUCCUACUCCUACUAGGAGGAGGACUCCCCCCCUCUCCUUGGCGCGCCUAGGGCAGUCGGCCUCCCCCUUGCUCCUUUAUAUACGGGGGCAGGGGGCACCUCUAUACACACUUGAUAUACGAUAUUUUAGCCGUGUGCGGUGCCCCCCUCCACCAUAUUACACCUCGAUAAAACCGUUGCGGAGCUUAGGCGAAGCCCUGCAUCAGUGGAACAUCAUCAUCGUCACCACGCCAUCGUGCUGACGAAACUCUCCCUCAACACUCGGCUGGAUUGGAGUUCGAGGGACGUCAUCGAGCUGAACGUGUGCUGAACUCGGAGGUACCGUACGUUCGGUACUUGAUCGGUCGGAUCAUGAAGACGUACGACUACAUCAACCGCGUUGUGUUAACGCUUCCGCUGUCGGUCUACGAGGGUACGUGGACAACACUCUCCCCUCUCGUUGCUAUGCAUCACCAUGAUCUUGCGUGUGCGUAGGAAUUUUUUUGAAAUUACUACGUUCCCCAAUAGUGGUAUCAGAGCCAGGUUUUAUGCGUUGAUGCUAUGCACGAGUAGAACACAAGUGAGUUGUGGGCGAUAUAAGUCAUACUGCUUACCAGCAUGUCAUACUUUGGUUCAGCGGUAUUGUGAGAUGAAGCGGCCCGGACAGACAUUACGCGUACGCUUACGUGAGACUGGUUUCACCGUUGCGAGCACUCGUUGCUUAAAGGUGACCGGCGGGUGUCUGUCUCUCUCACUUUAGUUGAACCGAGUGUGGCUACGCCCGAUCCUUGCGAAGGUUAAAACAGCACCAACUUGACAAACUAUCGUUGUGGUUUUGAUGCGUAGGUAAGAACGGUUCUUGCUAAGCCCGUAGCAGCCACGUAAAACUUGCAACAACAAAGUAGAGGACGUCUAACUUGUUUUUGCAGGGCAUGUUGUGAUGUGAUAUGGUCAAGACAUGAUGUGAUAUAAUUUGUUGUAUGAGAUGAUCAUUUUUUGUAACCGAGUUAUCGACAACUGGCAGGAGCCAUAUGGUUGUCGCUUUAUUGUAUGAAUUGCAAUCGCCAUGUAAUAGUUUUACUUUAUCACUAAGCGGUAGCGAUAGUCGUAAAAGCAAUAAGUUGGCGAGACGACAACGAUACUACGAUGGAGAUCAAGGUGUCGCGCCGGUGACGAUGGUGAUCAUGACGGUGCUUCGGAGAUGGAGAUCACGAGCACGGUGCUUCGAAGAUGGAGAUCACAAGCACAAGAUGAUGAUGGCCAUAUCAUAUCACUUAUAUUGAUUGCAUGUGAUGUUAAUCCUUUAUGCAUCUUAUCUUGCUUUGAUUGACGGUAGCAUUAUAAGAUGAUCUCUCACUAAAAUUUCAAGAUAAAAGUGUUCUCUCUGAGUAUGCACCGUUGCGAAAGUUCUUCGUGCUGAGACACCACGUGAUGAUCGGGUGUGAUAGGCUCUACGUUCAAAUACAACGGGUGCAAAACAGUUGCACACGCGGAAUACUCAGGUUAAACUUGACGAGCCUAGCAUAUGCAGAUAUGGCCUCGGAACACGGAGACCGAAAGGUCGAGCGUGAAUCAUAUAGUAGAUAUGAUCAACAUAGUGAUGUUCACCAUUGAAACUACUCCAUCUCAUGUGAUGAUCGGACAUGGUUUAGUUGAUUUGGAUCACGUAAUCACUUAGAUGAUUAGAGGGAUAUCUAUCUAAGUGGGAGUUCUUAAGUAAUAUGAUUAAUUGAGCUUAAAUUUAUCAUGAACUUAGUACCUGAUAGUAUCUUGCUUGUCUAUGUUAAUUGUAGAUAAAUGGCCCGUGCUGUUGUUCCGUUGAAUUUUAAUGCGUUCCUUGAGAAAGCUAAGUUGAAAGAUGAUGGUAGCAAUUACACGGACUGGGUCCGUAACUUGAGGAUUAUCCUCAUUGCUGCACAGAAGAAUUACAUCCUAGAAGCACCGCUAGGUGCCAGGCCUCCUGCAAGAGCAACACCAGAAGUUAUGAACGUCUGGCAGAGCAAAGCUGAUGACUACUCGAUAGUUCAGUGUGCCAUGCUUUACGGCUUAGAACCGGGUCUUCAACGACGUUUUGAACGUCAUGGAGCAUAUGAGAUGUUCCAGGAGUUGAAUUUAAUAUUUCAAGCAAAUGCCCGGAUUGAGAGAUAUGAAGUCUCCAAUAAGUUCUACAGCUGCAAGAUGGAAGAGAAUAGUUCUGUGAGUGAGCAUAUACUCAAAAUGUCUGGGUAUAAUAAUCACUUGAUUCAACUGGGAGUUAAUCUUCUGGAUGAUAGCGUCAUUGACAGAAUUCUUCAAUCACUGCCACCAAGCUACAAGAGCUUCGUGAUGAACUAUAACAUGCAAGGGAUGAAUAAGACAAUUCCCGAGCUCUUCGCAAUGCUGAAGGCAGCGGAGGUAGAAAUCAAAAAGGAGCAUCAAGUGUUGAUGGUCAGUAAAACCACUAGUUUCAAGAAAAAGGGCAAAGGGAAGAAGAAGGGGAACUUCAAGAAGAACAGCAAGCAAGUUGCUGUCCAGGAGAAGAAACCCAAGUCUGGACCUAAGCUUGAAACUGAGUGCUUCUACUGCAAGCAGACUGGUCACUGGAAGCGGAACUGCCCCAAGUAUUUGGCGGAUAAGAAGGAUGGCAAGGUUAACAAAGGUAUAUGUGAUAUACAUGUUAUUGAUGUGUACCUUACUAAUGCUCGCAGUAGCACCUGGGUAUUUGAUACUGGUUCUGUUGCUAAUAUUUGUAACUCGAAACAGGGGCUACGAAUUAAGCGAAGAUUGGCUAUGGACGAGGUGACGAUGCGCGUGGGAAAUGGUUCCAAAGUCGAUGUGAUCGCUGUCGGCACGCUACCUCUACAUCUACCUCCGGGAUUAGUUUUAGACCUAAAUAAUUGUUAUUUGGUGCCAGCGUUGAGCAUGAACAUUAUAUCUGGAUCUUGUUUAAUGCGAGACGGUUAUUCAUUUAAAUCAGAGAAUAAUGGUUGUUCUAUUUAUAUGAAUAAUAUCUUUUAUGGUCAUGCACCCUUGAAGAGUGGUCUAUUUUUAAUGAAUCUCGAUAGUAGUGACAACAUAUUCAUAAUGUCGAAGCCAAAAGAUGCAGAGUUGAUAAUGACAGUGCAACUUAUUUGUGGCACUGCCGUUUAGGUCAUAUCGGUGUAAAGCGCAAGAAGAAACUCCAUGCUGAUGGACUUUUGGAAUCACUUGAUUAUGAAUCACUUGGUACUUGCGAACCGUGCCUCAUGGGCAAGAUGACAAAAACACCGUUCUCCGGAACUAUGGAGAGAGCAACAGAUUUGUUGGAAAUCAUACAUACAGAUGUAUGUGGUCCGAUGAAUAUUGAGGCUCGUGGCGGAUAUCGUUAUUUUCUCACCUUCACAGAUGAUUUGAGCAGAUAUGGGUAUAUCUACUUAAUGAAACAUAAGUCUGAAACAUUUGAAAAGUUCAAAGAAUUUCAGAGUGAAGUUGAAAAUCAUCGUAACAAGAAAAUAAAAUUCCUACGAUCUGAUCGUGGAGGAGAAUAUUUGAGUUACGAGUUUGUCCUACAUUUAAAACAAUGCGGAAUAGUUUCGCAACUCACGCCACCCGGAACACCACAGCGUAAUGGUGUGUCCGAACGUCGUAAUCGUACUUUAUUAGAUAUGGUGCGAUCUAUGAUGUCUCUUACUGAUUUACCGCUAUCGUUUUGGAGUUAUGCUUUAGAGACGGCUGCAUUCACUCUAAAUAGGGCACCAUCGAAAUCCGUUGAAACGACACCUUAUGAACUAUGGUUUGGCAAGAAACCAAAGUUGUCGUAUCUUAAAGUUUGGGGUUGUGAUGCUUAUGUGAAGAAACUUCAACCUGAUAAGCUCGAACCUAAAUCGGAGAAUUGUGUCUUCAUAGGAUACCCAAAGGAGACUGUUGGGUACACCUUCUAUCACAGAUCCGAAGGCAAGAUAUUCGUUGCUAAGAAUGGAUCCUUUCUAGAGAAGGAGUUUCUCUCGAAAGAAGUGAGUGGGAGGAAAGUAGAACUUGAUGAGGUAACUGUACCUGCUCCCUUAUUGGAAAGUAGAUCAUCACAGAAAUCAGUUUCUGCGACACCUACACCAAUUAGUGAGGAAGUUAAUGAUAAUGAUCAUGAAACUUCAGAUCAAGUUAUUGCUGAACCUCGUAGGUCAACUAGAUCAAGAUCCGCACCAGAGUGGUACGGUAAUCCUGUUCUGGAGGUUAUGUUACUAGACCAUGACGAACCUACGAACUAUGAAGAAGCGAUGGUGAGCCCAGAUUCCGCAAAAUGGCUUGAAGCCAUGAAAUCCGAGAUGGGAUCAAUGUAUGAGAACAAAGUAUGGACUUUGGUUGACUUGCCCGAUGGUCGGCAAGCCAUUGAAAAUAAAUGGAUCUUCAAGAAGAAGACUGACGCUGAUGGUAAUGUUACUGUCUAUAAAGCUCGACUUGUUGCGAAAGGUUUUCGACAAGUUCAAGGGAUUGACUACGAUGAGACCUUCUCACCCGUAGCGAUGCUUAAGUCUGUCCGAAUCAUGUUAGCAAUUGCCGCAUUUUAUGAUUAUGAAAUUUGGCAAAUGGAUGUCAAAACUGCAUUCCUGAAUGGAUUUUUGGAAGAAGAGUUGUAUAUGAUGUAACCGGAAGGUUUUGUCGAUCCAAAGGAAACUAACAAAGUGUGCAAGCUCCAGCGAUCCAUUUAUGGACUGGUGCAAGCCUCUCGGAGUUGGAAUAAACGCUUUGAUAGUGUGAUCAAAGCAUUUGGUUUUAUACAGACUUUUGGAGAAGCUUGUAUUUACAAGAAAGUGAGUGGGAGCUCAGUAGCAUUUCUGAUAUUAUAUGUGGAUGACAUAUUACUGAUUGGAAAUGAUAUAGAAUUUCUGGAUAGCAUAAAGGGAUACUUGAAUAAGAGUUUUUCAAUGAAAGACCUCGGUGAAGCUGCAUAUAUAUUAGGCAUUAAGAUCUAUAGAGAUAGAUCAAGAUGCUUAAUAGGACUUUCACAAAGCACAUACCUUGACAAAGUUUUGAAGAAGUUCAAAAUGGAUCAAGCAAAGAAAGGGUUCUUGCCUGUACUACAAGGUGUGAGAUUGAGUAAGACUCAAUGCCCGACCACUGCAGAAGAUAGAGAGAAGAUGAAAGAUGUUCCCUAUGCUUCAGCCAUAGGCUCUAUCAUGUAUGCAAUGUUGUUACCAGACCUGAUGUGUGCCUUGCUAUAAGUUUAGCAGGGAGGUACCAAAGUAAUCCAGGAGUGGAUCACUGGACAGCGGUCAAGAACAUCCUGAAAUACCUGAAAAGGACUAAGGAUAUGUUUCUCGUUUAUGGAGGUGACAAAGAGCUCAUCGUAAGUGGUUACGUUGAUGCAAGCUUUGACACUGAUCCGGACGAUUCUAAAUCGCAAACCGGAUACGUAUUUACAUUGAACGGUGGAGCUGUCAGUUGGUGCAGUUCUAAGCAAAGUGUCGUGGCGGGAUCUACGUGUGAAGCGGAAUACAUAGCUGCUUCGGAAGCAACAAAUGAAGGAGUCUGGAUGAAGGAGUUCAUAUCCGAUCUAGGUGUCAUACCUAGUGCAUCGGGACCAAUGAAAAUCUUUUGUGACAAUACUGGUACAAUUGCCUUAGCAAAGGAAUCCAGAUUUCACAAGAGAACCAAGCACAUCAAAAGACGCUUCAAUUCCAUCCGGGAUUUAGUCCAGGUGGGAGACAUAGAAAUUUGCAAGAUACAUACGGAUCUGAAUAUUGCAGACCCGUUGACUAAGCCUCUUCCACGAGCAAAACAUGAUCAACACCAAGACUCCAUGGGUGUAAGAAUCAUUACUAUGUAAUCUAGAUUAUUGACUCUAGUGCAAGUGGGAGACUGAAGGAAAUAUGCCCUAGAGGCAAUAAUAAAGUAUUAUUUAUUUCCUUAUAUCAUGAUAAAUGUUUAUUAUUCAUGCUAGAAUUGUAUUAACCGGAAACAUAAUACAUGUGUGAAUACAUAGACAAACUGUGUGUCACUAGUAUGCCUCUACUUGACUAGCUCGUUAAUCAAAGAUGGUUAUGUUUCCUAGCCAUAGACAUGAGUUGUCAUUUGAUUAACGGGAUCACCUCAUUAGGAGAAUGACGUGAUUGACCUGACCCAUUCCGUUAGCUUAGCACCCGAUCGUUUAGUAUGUUGCUAUUGCUUUCUUCAUGACUUAUACAUGUUCCUAUGACUAUGAGAUUAUGCAACUCCCGUUUACCGGAGGAACACUUUGUGUGCUACCAAACGUCACAACGUAAAUGGGUGAUUAUAAAGGUGCUCUACAGGUGUCUCCAAAGGUACUUGUUGGGUUGGCGUAUUUCGAGAUUAGGAUUUGUCACUCCGAUUGUCGGAGAGGUAUCUGUGGGCCCACUCGGUAAUGCACAUCACUAUAAGCCUUGCAAGCAUUGUGACUAAUGAGUUAGUUACGGGAUGAUGUAUUACGAAACGAGUAAAGAGACUUGCCAGUAACGAUAUUGAACUAGGUAUCGAGAUACCGACGAUCGAAUCUCGGGCAAGUAACAUACCGAUGACAAAGGGAACAACGUAUGUUGUUAUGCGGUUUGACCGAUAAAGAUCUUCGUAGAAUAUGUGGGAGCCAAUAUGAGCAUCCAGGUUCCGCUAUUGGUUAUUGACCGGAGAGGUGUCUCGGUCAUGUCUACAUAGUUCUCGAACCCGUAGGGUCCGCACGCUUAACGUUACGAUGACAGUUAUAUUAUGAGUUUAUAUGUUUUGAUGUACCGAAGGUUGUUCGGAGUCCCGGAUGUGAUCACAGCAUGACGAGGAGUCUCGAAAUGGUCGAGACAUAAAGAUUGAUAUAUUGGACGACUAUAUUCGGACACCGGAAGUGUUCCGGAGAAGUUUCGGAUAAAACCGGAGUGCCGGAGGGGUUACCGGAACCCCUCGGGGAAGUAUUGGGCCUUAGUGGGCCUUGAGGGGAGAGAGAGGGCAGCAGCCAGGAGGUGGCGUGCCCCCUCCCAUGAGGAGUCCUAUUAGGACUAGGAGAGGGGGGCGCAGCCCCUCUUUCCCUCUCCCCCUCCCUCUCUUUCCUUCCCCCCCUCUCUUCCUAGUUGGACUAGGAAAGGGGAGUCCUACUCCUACUAGGAGGAGGACUCCCCCCCCUCUCCUUGGCGCGCCUAGGGCAGCCGGCCUCCCCCUUGCUCCUUUAUAUACGGGGGCAGGGGGGCACCUCUAUACACACUUGAUAUACGAUAUUUUAGCCGUGUGCGGUGCCCCCCUCCACCAUAUUACACCUCGAUAAUACCGUUGCGGAGCUUAGGCAAAGCCCUGCGUCGGUGGAACAUCAUCAUCGUCACCACGCCGUCGUGCUGACGAAACUCUCCCUCAACACUCGGCUGGAUCGGAGUUCGAGGGACGUCAUCGAGCUGAACGUGUGCUGAACUCGGAGGUGCCGUACGGUCGGUACUUGAUCGGUCGGAUCAUGAAGACGUACGACUACAUCAACCGCGUUGUGAUAACGCUUCUGCUGUCGGUCUAUGAGGGUACAUGGACAACACUCUCCCCUCACCUUGCUAUGCAUCACCAUGAUCUUGCGUGUGCGUAGGAAUUUUUUUGAAAUUACUACGUUCCCCAACAGCUAGAUCUCCAUCAACCUCUCCUUCCCCCUUGCUGGAUCAAGAAGGAGGAGACGUCGGUGCUCCGUACGUGUGUUGAACGCAGAGGUGCCGUCCGUUCGGCACUCGGUCAUCGGUGAUUUGGAUCACGGCGAGUACGACUCCAUCAACCCCGUUCACUUGAACGCUUCCGCUUACGAUCUACAAGGGUAUGUAGAUGAACUCCUUUCCCCUCGUUGCUAGUAUACUCCAUAGAUGGAUCUUGGUGAUGCGUAGGAAAUUUUAAAAUUCUGCUACGAUCCCCAACACUCGUUUUGAUGAGAUGAUCAAAGCGUUUGGGUUUACACAGACUUAUGGAGAAGCCUGUGUUUACAAGAAAGUGAGUGCGAGCUCUGUAGCAUUUCUCUUAUUAUAUGUGGAUGACAUACUAUUGAUGGGAAAUGAUAUAGAAUUCUUGGAAAGUAUAAAGGCCUACUUGAAUAAGUGUUUUUCAAUGAAGGACCUUGGAGAAGCUGCUUAUCUAUUAGGCAUCAAGAUCUAUAGAGAUAGAUCAAGACGCCCCAUUGGUCUUUCACAGAGUACGUACCUUGACAAGAUAUUGAAGAAGUUCAAUAUGGAUCAGUCCAAGAAGGGGUUCUUGCCUGUAUUGCAAGGUGUGCAAUUGAGCACGGCUCAAUGCCCGACCACGGCAGAAGAUAGAGAAAAGAUGAGUGUCAUCCCCUAUGCCUCGGCCAUAGGGUCUAUUAUGUAUGCCAUGCUGUGUACCAGACCUGAUGUAAACCUUGCCGUAAGUUUGGUAGGAAGGUACCAAAGUAAUCCCGGCAUGGAACACUGGACAGCGGUCAAGAAUAUCCUGAAGUACCUGAAGAGGACUAAGGAUAUGUUUCUCGUUUAUGGAGGUGACGAAGAGCUCGUCGUAAAGGGUUACGUCGACGCUAGCUUCGACACAGAUCUGGAUGACUCGAAGUCACAAAACGGAUACGUGUAUAUUUUGAAUGGAGGAGCAGUAAGCUGGUGCAGUUGCAAGCAAAGCGUCGUGGCGGGAUCUACAUGUGAAGCGGAGUACAUGGCAGCCUCGGAGGCAGCACAGGAAGCAGUCUGGAUGAAGGAGUUCAUUACCGACCUAGGGGUGAUUCCCAAUGCGUCGGGCCCGAUGACUCUCUUCUGUGACAACACUGGAGCUAUUGCCCUUGCCAAGGAGCCCAGGUUUCACAGGAAGACCAGGCAUAUCAAGCGUCGCUUCAACUCCAUUCGUGAAAGUGUUCAAAAUGGAGACAUAGAUAUUUGUAAAGUACAUACGGACCUGAAUGUAGCAGAUCCGUUGACUAAACCUCUCCCUAGAGCAAAACAUGAUCAACACCAGAACGCUAUGGGUGUUCGAUUCAUCACAAUGUAACUAGAUUAUUGACUCUAGUGCAAGUGGGAGACUGUUGGAAAUAUGCCCUAGAGGCAAUAAUAAAAUGGUUAUUAUUAUAUUUCUUUGUUCAUGAUAAUUGUCUAUUAUUCAUGCUAUAAUUGUGUUAUCCGGAAAUCGUAAUACAUGUGUGAAUACAUAGACCACAACGUGUCCCUAGUAAGCCUCUAGUUGACUAGCUCGUUGAUCAACAGAUAGUCAUGGUUUCCUGACUAUGGACAUUGGAUGUCAUUGAUAACGGGAUCACAUCAUUAGGAGAAUGAUGUGAUGGAGACCCAAUCCUAAGCAUAGCUCAAAGAUCGUGUAGUUCGUUUGCUAGAGCUUUUCCAAUGUCAAGUAUCUUUUCCUUAGACCAUGAGAUCGUGCAACUCCCGGAUGCCAUAGGAGUGCUUUGGGUGUGCCAAAUGUCACAACGUAACUGGGUGACUAUAAAGGUGCAUUACGGGUAUCUCCGAAAGUGUCUGUUUGGUUGGCACGGAUCGAGACUGGGAUUUGUCACUCCGUAUGACGGAGAGGUAUUUCCGGGCCCACUCGGUAAUGCAUCAUCAUAAUGAGCUCAAUGUGACUAAGGAGUUAGCCACGUGAUCAUGCAUUACGGUACGAGUAAAGAGACUUGCCGGUAACGAGAUUGAACAAGGUAUUGGGAUACCGACGAUCGAAUCUCGGGCAAGUAACAUACCGAUUGACAAAGGGAAUUGUAUACGGGAUUGAUUGAAUCCUCGACAUCGUGGUUCAUCCGAUGAGAUCAUCGUGGAACAUGUGGGAGCCAACAUGGGUAUCCAGAUCCCGCUGUUGGCUAUUGACCGGAGAGGCGUCUCGGUCAUGUCUGCAUGUAUCCCGAACCCGUAGGGUCUACACACUUAAGGUUCGGUGACGCUAGGGUUGUAGAGAUAUUAGUAUGCGGAAACCCGAAAGUUGUUCAGAGUCCCGGAUGAGAUCCCGAACGUCACGAGGAGUUCCGGAAUGGUCCGGAGGUGAAGAAUUAUAUAUAGGAAGUCAAGUUUCGGCCACCGGGAAAGUUUCGGGGGUCACUGGUAUUGUACCGGGACCACCGGAAGGGUCCCGGGGGUCGACCGGGUGGGGCCACCUAUCCCGGAGGGCCCCAUGGGCUGAAGUGGGAAGGGAACCAGCCCCUAGUGGGCUGGGGCGCCCCCCAUGGGCCUCCCCCUGCGCCUAGGGUUGGAAACCCUGGGGGUGGGGGGCGCCCCACCUGACUUGGGGGGCAAGUUUCCCCCCUGGCCGCCGCCCCCCUUGUAGAUGGGUUCCAGGGCCGGCGCCCCCCCUCCAAGGGGCCUAUAUAUAGUUGGGGGAGGGAGGGCAGCAGCACCACAGCCCCUGGCGCCUCCCUCUCCCCCUGCAACACCUCUCCUUCCCGCUUGCGCUUGGCGAAGCCCUGCCGGGAUCCCGCUACUUCCACCACCACGCCGUCGUGCUGCUGGAUCUCCAUCAACCUCUCCUUCCCCCUUGCUGGAUCAAGAAGGAGGAGACGUCGCUGCUCCGUACGUGUGUUGAACGCGGAGGUGCCGUCCGUUCGGCACUCGGUCAUCGGUGAUUUGGAUCACGGCGAGUACGACUCCAUCAACCCCGUUCACUUGAACGCUUCCGCUUGCGAUCUACAAGGGUAUGUAGAUGAACUCCUUUCCCCUCGUUGCUAGUAUACUCCAUAGAUGGAUCUUGGUGAUGCGUAGGAAAUUUUAAAAUUCUGCUACGAUCCCCAACAGUACUGGGUGCGGCCAUCCUGACUUUGGGUCUCCUCGGGGUCGUAGGCACGUCCAUGCCCAGCCUCGAAGAUCACGUUCUCCAUGUACUGGUUGUAGAAGGGGUCGUCGACCGGUGUCGUUGNNNNNNNNNNNNNNNNNNNNNNNNNNNNNNNNNNNNNNNNNNNNNNNNNNNNNNNNNNNNNNNNNNNNNNNNNNNNNNNNNNNNNNNNNNNNNNNNNNNNNNNNNNNNNNNNNNNNNNNNNNNNNNNNNNNNNNNNNNNNNNNNNNNNNNNNNNNNNNNNNNNNNNNNNNNNNNNNNNNNNNNNNNNNNGUGAAUGGUGCCCGUGCUUGCUUGCUCUGCAUCUCCACGGACGGUCGGCCGCCGCUGCUGGACCCAGGCGUAACAUUAAGGUCAAUGACGGCCGCGGGGCGUGGUGUCGACGGCGCGAACAAGCCAACGUCCGGCGACCCCGAGAAACGGGUCUGGCCGUCGUGCCUUGGCGGAGGAAAGCCGGGCGACAUGGGCGUGGUCCGCGACGUCGGCGACUGGCAGUGCGCAGGCCGGGCGACCGACGAGCCUGUGCUCGCCGGGCUGACGGCCGCUGUAGUGAAACCGGCCGGACGGCCCAUGCCAAGCAUGAGGAGGGCGUGCGCUUUGUUGACGAUGUCCUCCUUCUCGUCGGCCGCGGCCUUGCGCCAAGCGACCUCCUUCGCAUCGCGCUCGGCGGCGAACUUGGCCGCGGCGGCAUUGACCUUGACGACCGCUCUCCGGCUCCUCUUCUUCGCCGCUUCCGCGUCCAACCUGGCGAUCUCCUCCGGCGUGCACUCUGACCGCGGCUUCCUUGCCGCCUUGGCCGCCUUCUUCUUCACCUUUCCGGGCGGGUCGACGGCCAGGCCGCCGGAAUUCGGCUGGGCGUCGGCCAUGAACGGGGGAGAGAGGGGGCGGCGGGACGGACGUGGGAGGGUUUGGGGGAAAUGGCGCCAAAUGGGGCGUGGGGGGUUUUGGUUUCUCCCACCGACAGGCGGGCCAGGGGAGGACAAGCGUGUGCGUCCCGCCCGUCUGUGCGCUGUCCGUUUCACCCCAAAACCGGCGCAAACUUGGGCGGGGGAUGUGUCGAAAACGGACACGAAACGGACAAAAGUCCGUUUGCUCCCGCGCCCUGGGCCGCCCGAUUUGUCCCUUUUACCCCAAAUGGACGGGGACGGACAGGAUAGGGUCGCACGGUGGAGUUGGCCUAAGGGCUCGCUACCGCACGAUACAUGCCGAGCCCCACGGCAGCCAACGUCGCCACCGUCUCUCUCAGAUCUUCUCCAAUUCCUGAACCCUGCAAUGCCCAUCCGCCAUCGCGCUCGCCCUCCCGAGUCGUCGCCUUCGCUUGACAUCUCGCGGAGGUCUCGGAGGUCGCGUCGGCGCCGGGGGCGGAGGAGCAAGAUGACGGAGGAUUCUGCGGCGGAGGCGGCGGCGGAGGCGGAGGAGGAGGAUUCUGCAGCGGCGGCGACGACAGCGGCGGUGGAGGAGGAUUCUGCAGCGGCGGCGGCGGCGUUCACACCCUAGGAAAUACUCCCUCUGUUUCAAAUUACUCGUCGUGGUUUUAGUUUUUGAACUAAAACCACGACGAGUAAUUUAGAACAGAGGGAGUAGAUCGAGAGAGGAGUCGAGGGGGCCUCGUUUGUCUGAUUUCGUGAUUUCGUUUCGUAGGAUGGGGCUCAGUUUCUGUUUUUUUUUUGCUACGUGCGAGAGGAAACGGUGUGGUGGGAAGGGAGACAAAAAAACCAGCGAAAUAAAACGGACGAAAGUGAUGGGACGAAAAUAAAUCAUGGAUGGUAUUCAUCAACUCAGACAUUAGAAAUAGGAAUUGACAAGUGAAAUACACACUUGUACUAUUGCAGGUAAAGGGUCUCGCUCAAUCACAUCCCAUCUAAAAUCACAUAAACAUUCUUUGGUUUCUUUGGUUUCUUUUCUCGGUUUUCACAGGGUAUUUUCUUUUUCUGUCUUUUUCCUUUUGAUUUUCUUCAUUUUGGCUUCUUUUUUGGUUUCACUGUUUCCAUUCUUUUGCAUUGGUUUUCAUCGUAUUUAUUUUUAUUUUGUUCAUUUUAUUUGUUUAGUUUUGGCUUUCGUUGGUUUUGUUUGUUUCUUUGUCGGUUUUCAUCACUUAUUUCUUUUGACAUAUGUCUACUUUUUUCAGUGUACAUGGGAAACAUAAUUUUUGAGAAACCUUGAACAUUUUUUAAAUGGAUGACGUGCAUUUUUUCUGAAAUACGAGUUUUGAACACUUUUUUUAAUACAUGGUCAAUAUUUUUCAAAUAUACGGCGAACAUUUUUUAAUUGCAAUAACCAUUUUGCAGAGAUAAUAUACAUUUUUCGUAUAUACAUCUGAAUCAUUUUUCUAUACAUGUUUAAUAUUUUGUAAAUACAAAAUUAAUUUUUUAAAUAUAUGUUUUUAUGUCUACUUUUUAUUUAAUGUACUGUAUGUUAUACAUUUUUCAUAUACGUUAGGAACAUUCAGCGAGCCGGGCAUACAUCUUACUGUAAGCGAGAUAUAGCCCUCGCGCAAAAGAACCGGUUAGGCUAUAGCGUGUUUACUUUUCGCGGCCCAGGCCCAAAUUGAAAUCACGCGCGGUCCAGUGCCUCCUAACCCUACCCCCAUCCUGAAAUUUUGCUCAGGAAAAAAAAUCAUCCCGAAAUCCACCACACAGGACAAUGGCAAUGGCGGCUGGCGGCGGCGGCUACGCAGGGACAGCGAUGGCGGCCUGACGUGCCCCCCUUCUCCCGGCGACCCUCCUUCUCCGGCGACACCCUUCUCCCCGAAACGCCCUUCUCCGGCGGCCUCCCUCCCGGACAACUUCGACAAGGAAGGCAAGGAUCGCACAGCUCACGGCCAAGGGCGGCGUCUUCGUCCUCCGGCAGACACCCGAAGCACUGAGCUACCGGCCGCCACUCCCGGCUCGGCAUCUCCAUGCCCACCAUGAGCCAGCAGACUCAAUCGCCAGGCAAGCUCUCUGUCGGGAUCUCACUUUGUUUGUUCCUUUCAUCGCUGUCUGUAAUAAUCACAGACCCGGUUGAAAGUAUUUUUGGGCACGGGGCAAUGUAAAAUAAUUGUUUUUCAUACUAAACUUUUAUACUUAUUUUAAAUUAUGUGUACCACAUUAUAGUUGUGAUUAAUAUGUUUUUUCUAUUACUUAGCCACAUAAGAAUGUAUUUAAAUAAUAGUUAUAUUAUUCAUUGGUAUUCAGUUGUAAUGUGUUAUACCAUGAAAAUUUUAUCAUGUACCAAAAGUUUUUCUUUAUUGUUAAAAUAAUUUUCUGAUUUAUUUUCUAAUAUUGCAUAAACAAUGUAGUGUAUACAUAUUUGCAUAUCUAUGCGUGUGUUCAUAUAUAUUUUAAUAUUAUUGAAUAUUAUGGUAGAGAUUUCUAAAUUAUAUACACGCUAACAAAUAUUUUAAUAGUGGUUUCUAGUUAUAUUAGACAGUCAUAUUCCUGGAAACUUCUAGGACAUAGGAAUUGUGACCUGCAAGUUGGGUUCGAUAAUAGAAUCAUCGAAGAACUAAAAAUGGUGUUGAUUAUACUUCUACAUAUGACUCGAUUAACUAACAUGUUCGUCCAGACUCACAAGGUUUGAUUUGAUGCAAAUGACAUAUCCUACAUGUUUAUCGAAUUAAAAAUUGUGCAUUGGUUUAAACAUUGAGAUCUAGUUAUCAUAAUUUUUAUUAUGAUAUUAAGACAUCCAUCAUAAAGAGAGACUAGUGCAUUUGAAUUCAACUCCGCCAGUCAGAUUGGUUUGCAUAUGCGUGGUACAACUUAUUAGUAUGUGGUGUGAACUUAAGUUUUUGCGUAUAGUGCUUACUAGUAUAAGUUUUAGUUGGGGCCCUCCCCUGUUGGGGCCCGGGGCGGUCGCCCCUUUUGCCCGGCUUAUGGGCCGGCCCUGACUAAUCAUAAAACUGAUGUGUUGCAGAAGGAUGGAACGCUGCUUCAUCGUUAUCUGAAAGAGACAGCCCACCCUGCCGAUAGGAUGUUAAUUCCCAUGGCAGCAAAGAAGCAAGAUAUCUGGAUCCAGUCCUUCCAGAGGUAUCUUCUGAUAUUGCCGCGAGGCUUCUAUCAGUAGAAUAGCUGCAAGCUUUGCUCUGUUUUGUUGUAGUUAACUUCAGCAGGAAAACUGCUACAUUGACGUGAACUCCGAAUUCAACAUUGUUCAGGGAGCUGUGUUAUUUGUUUUAUUAUAUUGAUGACGUGAACUCCGAAUUUAACAUUGUUUUUCCUUGUGCUUAUGCCUACAAGAACAUUUUGCAACUUGUUCCUAACCUUGGCUGAAUCUUGCUGAUUAUGGCAUCCUUUCCCAUCUUUUACCUCUAAUUCUCAUGGUGCUUCUCUGCUCUUGCACGCAGGACAUAUGUUGUCGUAUAUAUUCCUUCCUACAGAUGCAAGAUGCUGCCCGUGCUGCCUGCGUUUCUCGCUCCUUCCUAGGCUACUGGAGAUGCCAUCCCAAUCUCACCUUCACCAAGAAACGAUGUGCCCCAAAGAAAAUUUGAAGACAGCGGGAUCAAAUGCUAUUAUAAGAGACUACAGCAACAAAAUUGACUGUGUUCCGACGAACCGCUCGGGCGCUGCCACCGUGACGAAACUCAGGCUUGACUACCAUGUUCCUCCUGAUGGUGCUGAAUUGUAUCAUCGUCUCGAUAGCUGGCUUCAGAUGGCUGUUACGCUGAGGACCAAAGAACUCGAGCUUCAAGUAUGGUCGAAAGAGGCGAGGUUUGAUUUCCCAUGCACACUACUAUCUGACAGGUGUGGGGACUCGAUCCAGAAGCUUUUCCUUUUCAGAUGCGCCUUGCGUCCCACAUUUCAACUUGGUUUGAGAAGCCUGAAAACACUGCAUCUGCGCGAUGUGCGUGUUACGGGGGAGGAGUUAGGGUGCCUUCUGUCCAGUUCCACUGCUUUGGAACACCUGGAGCUUGUAUAUUGCGAUGAUAUUGUUUGCCUCGAGAUACCUUGCCUGCUGCUGCGGCUCAGCUUUCUGGAGGUGGCUGGAUGCAUGAAUAUUAAGUGAUAGAGAACAAAGCUCCAAAUCUGUCCAGAUUUUACCUUGAAGCAGGUGAACUGGUGCAAGUCUCGUUUGGAGAGUCGAAAGUGAAGAAAGUGCAGUUAAUGUAGAGUCGUGCCAUCAGUUAUGCUACUGACAACCUUCCUUCACGUGUGACAAAUCUCGAGACUCUUACCAUAUAUUCUACUCCCUCCGUCCGGAAAUACUUGUCGACAAAUGGAUGUAUCUAGAUGUAUUUUAGUUGUAGUUACAUUCAUUUUUAUCCAUUUCUCCGACAAGUAAUUUGGGACGGAGGGAGUACUUGUGAGGUAUGGUCUUACUCUUAAGUUGGCAAACAUCCAUAUAAAGGUAUCCAAGUGUUGGAAUAAUUGUCCUGAGACAUCUUUAUGCAGAUAGUCAAUUCUCCAAUGGCAUCCGGCAAAUUCCUCCACCUCAAGUUCUCAAGUAUUCUUCUUAUGAGUGGAUCUAAUUUUGCCAAGGACUACGAUUAUUUAUCGUUGGUUCUUGUUUUCCAAGCAUCUCCUUCCCUGGAAACGUUUCGCUUGUUUGUAAGUUCGCCGUUCACCCUUUCCUCAAAAAAGGGAAAAAAAGCCACUGCAUCCUGCAAUGAUUAUCUGCUAACCAUGUUUGGAUCAUCAAUUAAAUACCUUGGCUUUUGAUCUUCAGGUAUGGGAGCACUCCAUGUAUCACUGGUUUAAGGGAGAUCCUGCCUCUCUGAGGCGACUGCCACAACACUGCCAUGGGAACCUCAAGAGUGUGAAGAUCAUUGGUUUCUUCCCGCAAAAGAGCAUGAUUGAGCUGGCAUGUCGUCUUCUCGAGAAUGCAACGUCACUUGAGUCCCUUACAGUGGAUGCUAGUCCUGCUGAUUACUGUUGUUCUGGCAGUAAACCGGGCAGGAAAUGUUGUCCCCGGAAAGCUACAGCUAUAGUGAAGGCACGUAAACCAGUCUUGGCUGUGAAAAAAUACAUUGAGGGGAAUGUUCCCUCUACAGUCAAGUUAAAUGUUCCAGAGCCUUGCCGACGAUGCCAUCGCUUUGAGUAAUUCAGGUGUCAAAUUAUUGUAGCUACCUGAUUACUAUUUAAUGGUGAUAUGUUUUAGUUGUCUUGUGCUAUGUUACAUUCAAGUCACCAGAUCUGUUUAGGAGUCUGUGAUAUUACCUUCCUGAUAACUUUGUUUACCAAACUGUCCAAUGUACUUAAUAUUACUAUUGUCCAUUAAAUAUUGUUGUGAACUUGUAUUGUAUAAA